rnacentral:rRNA from 1 species
CCAAGGAGUCUAACAUGUGCGCGAGUCACUCGGUCUUGAUUAGGCCAGGGAGGCGCAAUGAAGGUAAACUAUAGUUUUCGCAAGAAAACUUUGUUACGAUCCUUACAAUUCAGUUGCAUAUAUGAAAGUGUGUGUGACUGUUGUUUGGCGCAGUAACGGCCUGCCAAUUUCGCCUAUUGACGAUCUGGCAGAGUUAUAGCGUACACGUUGGUACCCGAAAGAUGGUGAACUAUGCCUGGGCAAGACGAAGCCAGAGGAAACUCUGGUGGAGGUCUGUAGCGAUUCUGACGUGCAAAUCGAUCGUCCGACCUGGGUAUAGGGGCGAAAGACUAAUCGAACCAUC